GUGCUCGCCUCAGCAGCACAUCUACUAAAAUUGGAAUGAUAGAAGAUUACUGUGGCCCCUGAACAAGGAUGACAGCCAAAUUCGUGAAGCAUUCCAUUUUUUU
ensembl:snRNA U6 U6 spliceosomal RNA